ACCGCAUGUCAGCGUUUCAAGUUUCCGUCAGUCAUGGCUGACAGAAGAUAGAAGCGCUGACAUGUGGU
rnacentral:pre_miRNA from 1 species